UACGUAGGAGGCAAGCGUUGUCCGGAAUUACUGGGCGUAAAGCGCGUGUAGGCGGUCUGAAUAGUCUGCUGUUAAAGCGCCUGGCUUAACCGGGCGAGGUCGGCGGAAACUCUCAGACUGGAGGCCGGUAGAGGGGGGUGGAAUUCCCGGUGUAGUGGUGAAAUGCGUAGAGAUCGGGAGGAACACCUGUGGCGAAGGCGGCCCCCUGGGCCGCGCCUGACGCUGAGACGCGAAGGCUAGGGGAGCGAACGGG
rnacentral:rRNA from 1 species